rnacentral:rRNA from 1 species
UACGUAGGGUGCAAGCGUUAAUCGGAAUUACUGGGCGUAAAGCGUGCGCAGGCGGUUAUGUAAGACAGAUGUGAAAUCCCCGGGCUCAACCUGGGAACUGCAUUUGUGACUGCAUAGCUAGAGUACGGUAGAGGGGGGAUGGAAUUCCGCGUGUAGCAGUGAAAUGCGUAGAUAUGCGGAGGAACACCGAUGGCGAAGGCAAUCCCCUGGACCUGUACUGACGCUCAUGCACGAAAGCGUGGGGAGCAAACAGG